AGAGUUUGAUCAUGGCUCAGAUUGAACGCUGGCGGCAUGCCUUACACAUGCAAGUCGGACGGCAGCACGGGAGUAAUCCUGGUGGCGAGUGGCGAACGGGUGAGUAAUACAUCGGAACGUGUCCUGGAGUGGGGGAUAGCCCGGCGAAAGCCGGAUUAAUACCGCAUACGCUCUGAGGAGGAAAGCGGGGGAUCUUCGGA
rnacentral:rRNA from 1 species